CGGUUUCUUAAGUCUGAUGUGAAAUCCCCCGGCUCAACCGGGGAGGUGUCAUUGGAAACUGGGGAGACUUGAGUGCUGAAGAGGAGAGUGGAAUUCCACGUGUAGCGGUGAAAUGCGUAGAGAUGUGGAGGAACACCAGUGGCGAAGGCGACUCUCUGGUCUGUAACUGACGCUGAGGAGCGAAAGCGUGGGGAGCGAACAGGAUUAGAUACCCUGGUAGUCCACGCCGUAAACGAUGACUGCUUGGAGGUAGGGGGCUUCCGCCCCUUAUUGCUGAACCUAACGCAUUAAUCACUCCGCCGGGGGAGUACGGUCGCAAGACUGAAACUCAAUGGAAUUGACGGGGGCCCGCACAAGCGGGGAACCUGGUGGUUUAUUUCAUACCACCGCGAAAAACCUUACCACGCCUUGACUUCCUCUGACUUUCCUGAGGAGAGGAGGUCCCCUUCGGAGGUCUAAUGACAGGGGUUGCAGGGUUGUCGUCAGCUCUGGUCGUGAGAGGUUGGGUUAAGUCCCGCAACGACCGCACCCCUAGAUCUUAUUUGCCAGCAUUCAGUUGGGCACUCUAAGGAGACUGCCGGUGACAAACUGGAGGAAGGUGGGGAUGACGUCAAAUCAU
rnacentral:rRNA from 1 species